CAAAGCGCGAAAUGUAAUGUGAAUUGCAGAAUUCAGUGAAUCAUCGAAUCUUUGAACGCACCUUGCGCUUUCGGGUUAUUCCUGAAAGCAUGUUCGUUUGAGUGUCGCGUACCUCUCAACCCCCUUCUUGGCAACAGGAAGCGAUUUCUAAGGGUUGGAUCAUGACGGCCCUGUCUUUGAGUAGACUCCGUUGAAAUGCAACAAGCUUGACGUAACUUGUCCUAAAGCGAGCUUGACCCGUUGUCAUAAGUUCUCAGUAACACUCUUCAAUGGGGAUCGCUUUUAUUUACCGUGACGAGUCGGAUUUUCAGCUUACCAUAAACCACCUUCAGGUGCUGCGUGCAGCGCUUUGGUGACCUUUCUACAUUUGACCUCAAAUCGAGCAGGACUACCCCCUGAACUUAAGC
rnacentral:misc_RNA from 1 species